GACGAACGCUGGCGGCGUGCCUAAUACAUGCAAGUAGAACGCUGAAGCUUGGUGCUUGCACCGAGCGGAUGAGUUGCGAACGGGUGAGUAACGCGUAGGUAACCUGCCUGGUAGCGGGGGAUAACUAUUGGAAACGAUAGCUAAUACCGCAUAAGAGUAGAUGUUGCAUGACAUUUGCUUAAAAGGUGCAAUUGCAUCACUACCAGAUGGACCUGCGUCGUAUUAGCUAGUUGGUGAGGUAACGGCUCACCAAGGCAACGAUACAUAGCCGACCUGAGAGGGUGAUCGGCCACACUGGGACUGAGACACGGCCCAGACUCCUACGGGAGGCAGCAGUAGGGAAUCUUCGGCAAUGGACGGAAGUCUGACCGAGCAACGCCGCGUGAGUGAAGAAGGUUUUCGGAUCGUAAAGCUCUGUUGUAAGAGAAGAACGAGUGUGAGAGUGGAAAGUUCACACUGUGACGGUAUCUUACCAGAAAGGGACGGCUAACUACGUG
rnacentral:rRNA from 1 species